AUCUGGAAAGCAAAAAUCCCCCUGAAAAUUCAAAUUUUUCUCUGGCAACUAUUCCAAGAUGCGGUGUUGACAAGAGAUGUCAUGAAAAGACGAAAGUGGGUUGGGAAUCCUAAAUGCUCGUUCUGUAAUGAAGUGGAAACCUCACAACACCUCUUUUUUACUUGUCCUGUGGCUAGGGUGGUGUGGAGGACAGUUGGGUGUGUUCUUGGCACCUCGCUGUGUCCAAACAAUCUUUGGCAGUACUUCUUCUGGUGUUAUAUUUUCCUUCCUGAUGGGGCUAAAUUCUAUACUUUUGGUUUGGCAGCUAUGGGCUGGGCGAUUUGGAUCAGUCGCAAUCAGGCUACCUUUGAGCACAAAUCUCUUAAAAGUCCGUUUAAUGUGGUGUAUGCUGCUUGUGGCUUUUUGACAUAUUGGGCAGGUUUGAUGACUGGAGAGGACAGGGAGUCCAUGGAGCGCGGAGCCAAGAUGCUGAGGUCGAAUGCAUCGGCGAUGAUGAGGAUAUGUGCACCUCCGGCACCGAUGAACUGA
rnacentral:rRNA from 1 species